rnacentral:lncRNA from 1 species
GCCUUGUGCUGCCACACCUAAAAAAUGGCUCCUGCACCCAUGUAAGAAGCAAUCUGCUUUCUCAGCCAUCUUGGCUCACCUGUUCUUUGACUACCCCACCCUGCCUGGGGCUCCAGUACUGAGUGUAUCUACAGUGCUAUGGGGACACCUAGGAGAACUCUAACCAGUCUUGAGAUGGGCUUGCUGUGGGUAAGACAGUGAAAUUCAAGGAAGGAAUAGAAGACGGUGGAGAGAAGAAUAGAAAAACACUCUGGACAGAGAGGAAAGAGCAUGAGUGAGAAAAAGCCUGGGAGCUUUGGGGAAAAUAAAAUAGUUUUGAAGGGGCUGAAGCUAAAGUGUAGACGAGGGGCAAGUAGAGGGAAGAUU